UACGUAGGUGACAAGCGUUGUCCGGAUUUACUGGGCGUAAAGGGCUCGUAGGCGGUUUGUCACGUCGGGAGUGAAAACUCGGGGCUUAACCCCGAGCCUGCUUCCGAUACGGGCUGACUAGAGGUAUGCAGGGGAGAACGGAAUUCCUGGUGUAGCGGUGAAAUGCGCAGAUAUCAGGAGGAACACCGGUGGCGAAGGCGGUUCUCUGGGCAUUACCUGACGCUCAGGCGCGAAAGCUAGGGGAGCGAACAGG
rnacentral:rRNA from 1 species